rnacentral:rRNA from 1 species
UACGUAGGGGGGCGAGCGUUUGUCCGGAUUUAUUGGGCGUAAAGAGCGUGUAGGCGGCCAGGUAGGUCCGUUGUGAAAACUCGAGGCUCAACCUCGAGACGUCGAUGGAAACCAUCUGGCUAGAGUCCGGAAGAGGAGAGUGGAAUUCCUGGUGUAGCGGUGAAAUGCGCAGAUAUCAGGAAGAACACCGGUGGCGAAGGCGGCUCUCUGGGCCUUACCUGACGCUGAGGAGCGAAAGCGUGGGUAGCGAACAGG